GGGUGAAAAAAACAUGUUGAGCUUAACAUGUUAAUGUUAAAUGGGACAGAAAUACAAUGUGCUGCCUACUUUUGAAUUAAAUGCUAAAUAGCAGUAUUAUACAUUUUGGGAAAAUAUUCAAAAAAUAAAAUACCCUAGAAUGGAGUUUCUUGGCAGCUCUGUACUAAUUUUAAUAGUUCUUGAAUCUCCUUUUUCACCUUAGAAAUUUUAGUCACACUUUAAAAAUCUGGGCAAAAUAUAUGUCCAGCAAACAGCCAAGAGCCAGAUGUAUUAAAUGAUCAUAUUUACGCUCCCAAAAGAAAAUUCAAAAUGAAGCAUGUUGAUAAUAAACAUUUUGGACGUGAUGUUGGAGAACAAUUGCAACCUGCCCAGAUGUUCAGCUCGCCCAAAGGCUGCCUCCUUGGUGACUUGUUUCAUCUUGAGUCUAGAGAGACCAGGCUGGGGAAGAAAACCACCUCCAGCCAGCCGUUCCAGCACAGCCCCACUGGCCAAAGCACACACUCACACAAUGAAAACACUGAAACUUUUUCUUAAAACAAAUUUUUCUCCCAUUGUCAUGGUUCUGUAUAUUAACACAAAAUUUUCUUUUCUCAUAGGAGAGAUUAUUUCAUUCAAUAUUUUUUAUGAAUUAUUUACCAUUUGUACUUCAAUAGUAGCAGAAGACAAAAAAGGUAAUUGUAUGCUGAGGGAGGGUGGGCAGCAUGAAGCACUACAUACAGAAAAAUCUUCUAAAUGAAAUUAGAACUUCUAAAAUUUGGGCUUGCUAUGUAAAUUCUGUGUAUGUUGCGUACAGCUUUUUAUUUCUUGGUAAAAUUUUGUGAUUGUACUGAAAAUUUUCCUUAUUUUCAGACUACUGUACUGCCUAUUAAAGUUGAUUUCAGACAUGCAAAAAACCUGGAAGAAAUGUUUCAGGGCUAGAAACAUUCUUCUCUUUCUCAUAGUUUACUUCUACCCAUCUACAUGAUUUGAUAGAAGUGCUCGCAGGAGGUGCUUCCUUAUCUUCGUGUAUGUCAUGACAUCUGUCCUUUUCUUGAGGCCCAGAACACACAUUCUACCAUCCUUUCCCAGCCAGGCAACCCAAUGGAUACCAGCCUCACUUUCCCGUAUUUUUCCUGACUGGUCCCCAGAGUACAAAGCACAGGACAACUUCACUAACUCACCCUGAUCUUUGACCUAUACUCUGGGUAUAAAUCUGCCUGUACCUUACCCUUGAGAUGUCCUGCUCUAGGGGAUGGUGCCUGAAGGGAAACAUUUGAUGAAUCACAGUAAUUGAGGCUCAGAUUUCUGUGUCCUGGUAGAACCAUGUGAUAGUGAACCAAAACGUGACCAUUGAUUCCUUUUCCCAUAUUCUGAUCUUACCUGGAAACCCGUGCUCUCAAAUUUUGUGGGGUUAUCUGGCAGAUUGACAGUGACAACAGUCCCAUCUGGUGAAGGCUUAGGAUAUUAGGAUAUUUCUUACUUCUUAUUGUUUGAAGAAACAAUUGUGAAUAUAAAUUAAUCAAAAUUAGAGGCCAGGCACAGUGGCUUACCCCUGUAAUGCCAGCACUUUGCGAGGCUGAGGCGGGCGAAUCAUCUGAGGUUGGGAGUUUGACACCAGACUGGCCAACAUGGUAAAACCCCUUCUCUACUAAAAGAAAAAUACACACACACACAAAAAAAGUAGCCAGGUGCGGUCGCACAUGUCUGUAAUCCCAACUACGUGGAAGGCUGAGGCACAAGAAUUGCUUGAACCUGGGAGGCAGAGGUUGCAGUGAGCUGAGAUCGCACCACUGCACUCCAGUCUGGCCAACAGAACGAGACUCUGUCUCAGAAAUUAAUUAAUUAAUCAAAAUUAAUUGUCCAGCUUUGAUUUAGAAUCUUAACUGCUAUUACACGUCUCUUCUGUCUACCUUCAAAUAGGUCAUCUAAUACAUGGGAGAAACAUGGAUUUUGGAGUGUUUCUUGGGUGGAACAUAAAUAAUGAUACCUGGGUCAUAACUGAGCAACUAAAACCUUUAACAGUGAAUUUGGACUUCCAAAGAAACAACAAAACUGUCUUCAAGGCUUCAAGCUUUGCUGGCUAUGUGGGCAUGUUAACAGGAUUCAAACCAGGACUGUUCAGUCUUUCACUGAAUGAACGUUUCAGUAUAAAUGGUGGUUAUCUGGGUAUUCUAGAAUGGAUUCUGGGAAAGAAAGAUGCCAUGUGGAUAGGGUUCCUCACUAGAACAGUUCUGGAAAAUAGCACAAGUUAUGAAGAAGCCAAGAAUUUAUUGACCAAGACCAAGAUAUUGGCCCCAGCCUACUUUAUCCUGGGAGGCAACCAGUCUGGGGAAGGUUGUGUGAUUACACGAGACAGAAAGGAAUCAUUGGAUGUAUAUGAACUCGAUGCUAAGCAGGGUAGAUGGUAUGUGGUACAAACAAAUUAUGACCGUUGGAAACAUCCCUUCUUCCUUGAUGAUCGCAGAACGCCUGCAAAGAUGUGUCUGAACCGCACCAGCCAAGAGAAUAUCUCAUUUGAAACCAUGUAUGAUGUCCUGUCAACAAAACCUGUCCUCAACAAGCUGACCGUAUACACAACCUUGAUAGAUGUUACCAAAGGUCAAUUCGAAACUUACCUGCGGGACUGCCCUGACCCUUGUAUAGGUUGGUGAGCACACGUCUGGCCUACAGAAUGCGGCCUCUGAGACAUGAAGACACCAUCUCCAUGUGACCGAACACUGCAGCUGUCUGACCUUCCAAAGACUAAGACUCGCGGCAGGUUCUCUUUGAGUCAAAAGCUUGUCUUCGUCCAUCUGUUGACAAAUGACAGACCUUUUUUUUUUCCCCCUAUCAGUUGAUUUUUCUUAUUUACAGAUAACUUCUUUAGGGGAAGUAAAACAGUCAUCUAGAAUUCAUUGAGUUUUGUUUCACUUUGACAUUUGGGGAUCUGGUGGGCAGUCGAACCAUGGUGAACUCCACCUCCGUGGAAUAAAUGGAGAUUCAGCGUGGGUGUUGAAUCCAGCACGUCUGUAUGAGUAACGGGACAGUAAACACUCCACAUUCUUCAGUUUUUCACUUCUACCUACAUAUUUGUAUGUUUUUCUGUAUAACAGCCUUUUCCUUCUGGUUCUAACUGCUCUUAAAAUUAAUAUAUCAUUAUCUUUGCUGUUAUUGACAGUGAUAUAAUUUUAUUACAUAUGAUUAGAGGGAUGAGACAGACAUUCACCUGUAUAUUUCUUUUAAUGGGCACAAAAUGGGCCCUUGCCUCUAAAUAGCACGUUUUGGGGUUCAAGAAGUAAUCAGUAUGCAAAGCAAUCUUUUAUACAAUAAUUGAAGUGUUCCCUUUUUCAUAAUUACUCUACUUCCCAGUAACCCUAAGGAAGUUGCUAACUUAAAAAACCGCAUCCCAGGUUCUGUUAAUUUAGUAAAUAAACAAGUCAAAGACUUGUGGAAAAUAGGAAGUGAACCCAUAUUUUAAAUUCUCAUAAGUAGCAUUCAUGUAAUAAACAGGUUUUUAGUUUGUUCUUCAGAUUGAUAGAUAGUUUUAAAGAAAUUUUAGUAGUUACUAAAAUUAUGUUACUUUAUUUUUCAGAAAUCAAACUGCUUAUGAAAAGUACUAAUAGAACUUGUUAACCUUUCUAACCUUCACGAUUAACUGUGAAAUGUACGUCAUUUGUGCAAGACCGUUUGUCCACUUCAUUUUGUAUAAUCACAGUUG
rnacentral:sRNA from 1 species